rnacentral:sRNA from 2 species
UACCAUGUUUUGGUGGGUGGCGCAGUAUUCUAGUCAAGACCACCAUCUUUGAAGGCGGGCCUAAAAAUCCGUCAAGGGCACACCGAUGAAGUUCCUGGUGCUGGCUGCCGACGCCCAGUCGGGGGUUGGUACUGGGAGUUAAGGAGGGGGGGCGAUCUACAAUGGCAUGUAGGCGUGGACCCUCCCUCCGUGGAGACCCAAGUUCGUGGGAAAGUUCCGCGGCAGGAGCAAAUACUAUGGCUUGGGGUGGAAACCUGCAGUUGGUACUGAGGGUGCUGGCUGCAGUGUAGCCUGCCUUGAGCGGCAGGGGUGGAUGCAGGCGAUAAGCCUAUCACGAUUUUCGCCGAAAAUCGUGGAGUAAGCGGAAACCCCUGUUGCAAAAGAGGCUAGAAGAUGGAUGGGAUUGCCGGGGAAAACCCCUAGACUGUUUACCACGUGUAAGGCUGGCCGGGGAUUAAAGUAUGUGCUAAGUGGUAAUCCAGUCCUGCUACCGGUGACGGCGCAGGGCAGCCUUUAAAGGGAAACCGCCAUGACGGCGACGCAUGGUAGGCUACCGGGAAAACCUACUGGACCUAAGCCAUAACAUUUAUCCGGCCAGUCGCCACCCACCCGUAAUUUUCA